GCCGCCGUCUCCGACCAACGUUCGCCGGAGCCGCCGUGACCGACCACCGUCCGUCCGCCGCCGAGAAGCCGCCGCCGCGUCGCCGCCUCGCCGCCGUCGCCGCAGUUGAUUUUCAGGUAAGCCGCCGGGGACCGACACCGGUGACUCGCCGGUGACUCGCCAACUCGGCCGAGUCAACCCGGUGAGUCAACUCGGUGACUCGGUCAACCUGUGGUUUGACCGGUUUAAAUCGAUUUCGAUUCGGUUAGGUUAAACCGGUUGGAUAAAAUCAAUUGGAAAUCGAUUUGGAGUCCAUUUGAGCAGCUGGAGUUCAUAGAUACCACUUCUUAUUGCUAAGGUGAGACCGAUGAGCAGGAGUGAUUAUCGGACCGAUGCUAUUGGACUUUUGGGCUUCUAUUGCUUUUACCGCUUUUAUCUUUAUCGGGCCUUUAGGCCUUUGGACUUUUAUCGUUUAUGUUAUUCCUAUUUCAGACUUUCGGUUUAUGUCGUAUUUUAUAUUUCGAAUGUUAUCGAUGUUGGGCUUUUAGACCUUUU